rnacentral:rRNA from 1 species
AUUGAACGCUGGCGGCAGGCUUAACACAUGCAAGUCGAGCGGGGGAGGUUGCUUCGGUAACUGACCUAGCGGCGGACGGGUGAGUAAUGCUUAGGAAUCUGCCUAUUAGUGGGGGACAACAUUCCGAAAGGGAUGCUAAUACCGCAUACGCCCUACGGGGGAAAGCAGGGGAUCUUCGGACCUUGCGCUAAUAGAUGAGCCUAAGUCGGAUUAGCUAGUUGGUGGGGUAAAGGCCUACCAAGGCGACGAUCUGUAGCGGGUCUGAGAGGAUGAUCCGCCACACUGGGACUGAAACACGGCCCAGACUCCUACGGGAGGCAGCAGUGGGGAAUAUUGGACAAUGGGCGGAAGCCUGAUCCAGCCAUGCCGCGUGUGUGAAGAAGGCCUUUUGGUUGUAAAGCACUUUAAGCGAGGAGGAGGCUACUAGUACUAAUACUACUGGAUAGUGGACGCUACUCGCAGAAUAAGCACCGGCUAACUCUGUGCCAGCCGCCGCGGUAAUAC